GGUAAGGGACUACGGUGGAAAUCUUGGGGUGGUUUAACGACUCCAAAAGCUGCAGGAGGGAUGGGCUUCCGCAAGCUAAGAGAGAUGAAUUUGGCUCUCUUAGUUGAAGGAGGAAACCCGUCAUAUAUAUGGAAAGGCUUGCUAGAGGUUCAAAAUGUCCUACGCUUAGGGUGUCGUCGGAGCAUUGGAAACGGGCUAGACACGAAAA